AAGGUGCACUUGAGGUGCCUCCAACGUAUCAAAAUGACUCUGUUUGGCUGGUAAAUAUCCGUGCACUGUGGAUAAGAAGCUAAGGAAAUGAAUGAUGAAGAGAUUGCCAGCAGAGAGAAGACGGGAGGACAGAUAGACAGGAGUUUCCGCUGAGCUGGGCAAGCGGCAAAAGCAGGGAAAACAUCUGCAGCCUUUGUUCCACUUCUGAAAGUGUGUGCCUCCUGAUAGUUCCUCAAGUCUUUUUCAGACUCUUGAAAUCAUGUCUACGAAAACCAGUUUGCUUUAAAACAUGAGGCAGGAAAUGGAGUCGGUGACUGGAGAAACAUAAACAAGACCACAGACCUGGUCAUAGGUUGGCAGUCGUUAAAUCGGUGGCUCGGUCGAAGAGCAUCUCCUAUUUUAUCCUUUCGUGCAAGUUUGACCAUGGUGAAAAGUUUACACUAAUAUGAACGGAUCCUGUUCUCUUCAUGUAAGGUUCUAACUGAUGGGCUUUUCUGUCAGAAAGGAGAAGUGGUCGUAUGGACAGUGGAGCACAUGCACCUUUGUCAAAGAAAUGUCUUGAAGGAGACCAGAGCUCCAGCACAAUGUGCGGCACCCUGGGCUGGGACCAGGGACAUGAACUCAUAACCUCUGGGGAACUGUCCAAGGGGUGAAGACCUGUGAGGAAUAUGGUUGCCAGACAGCAAACUGUGACAGGAGCUGUUCUCAGUCCCCAGCUUUCAUCCUCAGCGUUUCCCCCAGGAUUUGGAUGUCACCAUUUCUUUUCAGGUUCACAGUUACACACACACAUGUCUUCCACUCCGCUGGGAUCUCACUGUGUCAUCAGCCACUCCCUCUCUCUCAUGCUCAGCCUUUCUGACCACCAGCUCCUGUCCUCAGAGCUUUCACUGCAGAUUUUCCAAAGUCCCAUCUCCCUCAAGAUGACUCAAAUCUUUCUCGAUCCCUUCUUUUUUUUUUUUGGUUCUUUUUU
ensembl:lncRNA